rnacentral:lncRNA from 1 species
GCUGUUCAGGUCCUUCAACUCUGCCUCCAGCUGCCGGCAGCCCUGCAGCAGCGCCUGCAGCUCGGCGGACCGCGCGGAGAUGUCCGCAUCCAACACGCGGAGCUCCGCAUCGCCAGCGGCCGGGAGCUGCUCCUGGUCUGCGAAGUACACCUUCUGCUUGCCGUAGGCCUUCUCGCGGAUGUGGCCCUGCUGCGCCAGCUGCUCCAGCGCCUUCACCACGGCCGCCUUGCCCAGCCCGUGCUCCCGCUGCAGGUUCCCGAAGACGUCCUGGGCGCUGUACGGCCGGUUCUGCUCCCGCAGGUAGCGCAGCAGGAUAGCGGUGGCCCCGCCGCCCGCCGCGGGGCCCUCGCGCCCUUUGCUCAUCUUGUUCCCGCGCCCCACUCAGGCGGCGUGACGCACUUCCUGCGCGACGCACAGCGAAGGAACGGGGCUUCCUUCCGCGGUCCGCACGCAGAUGGUCCGGUUCCGCGCCGCUUCCGGCCGCAGACCUCGGGCAGUUCCGGUGUCUUCUGUCGCCGCACGACAGCUGUCCUGCGAUUGAAGGCUGCUCCUCGAUGGACGCUUUUAGCGUUAACUCACGCGAUACGGGACAGCUUUAAAGGGCGGGGGAAGAAUCAAUUAACCAUCGAGGGGAACCACGUGGGUUGUGUGGCCCUCUGAGCUCGAACCGAGCGCCCCGGGCCCGCCCUUUCAGAACGUUUCCCCAGGGCCGCCAUUUCUGCGCAGUACCACCUCCCCACACCCCAGCUCGGUUCCCCUCAGAGCCUCAGGAGCAAAUAAAAAGCAGCAGAAGAGGCUGAGAUGGGACAGCCCUCCCCCGGAAGCUAGGGAGACACGAGGGGGACAGAGGGAGUGAGAGGCUCACCCACAGAACUCAAUUAUCACAAAAUGAAAGAAGAAUCCGAAAAUGAAACAAGAAAUUUUAAUUCCACAAGUGAGUGCUGAGCACGUAUUCUGUACCACUCAGCUCUGCUAGGGGGUUGUGACAGGCUCUUUACUUCAGAUUCCAAAGUAGGCUGACAUUUUAUCAGAUGACAGCUUGUUCUUGCAAGGCCCAAAUGAAGAUUGAUGCUAGAACAAAAUAAAGCCUCCACCUCAGUCAUGGCUGCAAAAAAUACCUGCUCCCUUAAAUCAAGACAGUCCAAGCACUGCAGGGCCAACACCUUCAGCUAAGCAGAAUCAGACCAAAAAAAAAAAAAAAAAAAAAAGCACAUACAUGGGAGUUUCCCUGAAGAGGUAAGUGAUCUGUAUCAGUUUCUAUGGCUUAGAAAAAGCAAUGGGAAAGCUCAAUGACUCAGAAAGGGCUGGAAGGCUUGGGCAAUCCAGCUUAAAGAAUGUCUCUCCCCUAUGGGUUGCUGGUUUGUUUAAGUGACCACAACAAGUAGUUCUUCAGUCACCUGUGGCUUGAGCUCCUGUCCUCCUUUCAACUCCUGCUGGUAGGCUCUCAACUAUACAAAGCUGUGAAACAGCAGGGUGUCCUGGAAGCCCAGAACAAAACUGGCCAAGCAGGCCAAGUCUGCUUCUUCCAUCCUCCAGAAAAUCUCUCCCUAGUAGUUCUCUCGGAGGCAGUGUCAAGGGAAACAUAGUAUUGCUACUGUCCAUGCUGAACAUGUUCUGGAAUAACACUGGAAGUUUUUAGCAAAUUGUUAGUCCAUUAUUUUAAGAAAGCAACACAAGAACAGCUGCCACGUGUAGAUGUUCUUUGCAGGAUUCUAG